GAACGGAGCUGCUGUAAAGGUAAGUAACAGCUCUCUCCCAGCCCCCAACAGGACCGCCGGGCUUGUAAUGAGCCCGGCGGUCCUGGUCUGUAUUAUGGCAAUGUAAGUUGCCAUAAUAUAGACAUUGACUUGAGUAUAAGACAAGUGGGGUUUUUUCAGCACAAAAAAUGUGCCGAAAAACUCGUCUUAUACUCGAGUAUAUAUGGUAUUU